rnacentral:rRNA from 1 species
GACGAACGCUGGCGGCGUGCUUAACACAUGCAAGUCACGGGGGCCCGCAAGGGUAACCGGCGAACGGGUGCGUAACACGUGAACAAUCUGCCGUCCACUGGGGGAUAGCCGGCCCAACGGCCGGGUAAUACCGCAUACGUUCCUCGCCUGGCAUCAGGUGGGGAGGAAACCUCCGGGGGUGGACGAGGAGUUCGCGGCCUAUCAGCUAGUUGGUGGGGUAACGGCCUACCAAGGCGAUGACGGGUAGCUGGUCUGAGAGGAUGGCCAGCCACAUUGGGACUGAGAUACGGCCCAGACUCCUACGGGAGGCAGCAGUGGGGAAUAUUGCGCAAUGGCCGCAAGGCUGACGCAGCGACGCCGCGUGGGGGAUGAAGCAUUUCGGUGUGUAAACCCCUGUUGCUCGGGACGAACAACCCUUUUCGAGGGGUCUGACGGUACCGGGUGAGGAAGCACCGGCUAACUCCGUGCCAGCAGCCGCGGUAAUACGGAGGGUGCGAGCGUUGUCCGGAAUCACUGGGCGUAAAGGGCGCGUAGGCGGUGGCUUAAGCGUGUGGUGAAAGCCCGGGGCUCAACCCCGGGUCGGCCAUGCGAACUGGGCCACUCGAGCACUGUAGAGGCAGGUGGAAUUCCGGGUGUAGCGGUGGAAUGCGUAGAGAUCCGGAAGAACACCGGUGGCGAAGGCGGCCUGCUGGGCAGUAGCUGACGCUGAGGCGCGACAGCGUGGGGAGCAAACAGGAUUAGAUACCCUGGUAGUCCACGCCGUAAACGAUGGGCACUAGGUGCUUGGGGGAACGACCCCUCGAGUGCCGG